rnacentral:rRNA from 1 species
CCUACGGGAGGCAGCAGUGAGGAAUAUUGGUCAAUGGACGAGAGUCUGAACCAGCCAAGUAGCGUGAAGGAUGACUGCCCUAUGGGUUGUAAACUUCUUUUAUAUGGGAAUAAAAUGUUCCACGUGUGGGAUUUUGUAUGUACCAUAUGCAUAAGGAUCGGCUAACUCCGUGCCAGCAGCCGCGGUAAUACGGAGGAUCCGAGCGUUAUCCGGAUUUAUUGGGUUUAAAGGGAGCGUAGGUGGAUUGUUAAGUCAGUUGUGAAAGUUUGCGGCUCAACCGUAAAAUUGCAGUUGAUACUGGCAGUCGUGAGUACAGUAGAGGUGGGCGGAAUUCGUGGUGUAGCGGUGAAAUGCUUAGAUAUCACGAAGAACUCCGAUUGCGAAGGCAGCUCACUGGACUGCAACUGACACUGAGGCUCGAAAGUGUGGGUAUCAAACAGGAUUAGAUACCCCAGUAGUC